rnacentral:rRNA from 1 species
CCUACGGGAGGCAGCAGUGAGGAAUAUUGGUCAAUGGGCGCGAGCCUGAACCAGCCAAGUAGCGUGAAGGAUGACUGCCCUACGGGUUGUAAACUUCUUUUAUAAAGGAAUAAAGUGAGGCAUGUGUGCCUUUUUGUAUGUACUUUAUGAACAAGGAUCGGCUAACUCCGUGCCAGCAGCCGCGGUAAUACGGAGGAUCCGAGCGUUAUCCGGAUUUUUUGGGUUUAAAGGGAGCGUAGAUGGGUUGUUAAGUCAGUUGUGAAUGUUUUCUGGUCAACCGUAAAAUUGCAAUUGAUACUGGCAGCCGUGAGAACAGUUGAGGUAGGCGGAAUUCGUGGUGUAGCGGUGAAAUGCUUAGAUAUCGCGAAGAACUCCGAUUGCGAAGGCAGCCUACUAAACUGCCACUGACAUUGAUGCUCGAAAGUGUGGGUAUCAAACAGGAUUAGAUACCCGGGUAGUC